UACGUAGGGGGCAAGCGUUGUCCGGAAUUACUGGGCGUAAAGAGCUCGUAGGCGGUUUGUCGCGUUGUUCGUGAAAACUCACAGCUCAACUGUGGGCGUGCGGGCGAUACGGGCAGACUGGAGUACUGCAGGGGAGACUGGAAUUCCUGGUGUAGCGGUGGAAUGCGCAGAUAUCAGGAGGAACACCGGUGGCGAAGGCGGGUCUCUGGGCAGUAACUGACGCUGAGGAGCGAAAGCGUGGGGAGCGAACAGG
rnacentral:rRNA from 1 species